rnacentral:rRNA from 1 species
UACGUAGGAGGCAAGCGUUGUCCGGAAUUACUGGGCGUAAAGAGCGUGUAGGCGGCCUGACAGGUCUGCUGUGAAAACUCGAGGCUCAACCUCGAGAUGUCGGCGGAAACCGUCUGGCUAGAGUCCGGAAGAGGAGAGUGGAAUUCCUGGUGUAGCGGUGAAAUGCGCAGAUAUCAGGAAGAACACCUAUGGCGAAGGCAGCUCUCUGGGACGGUACUGACGCUGAGACGCGAAAGCGUGGGGAGCGAACAGG